GACCAGGUUUGCUGCAAAAAAUAAGAUCGACAUUUAGAGAAAAAAAAAUAGCACGGCUGAAAAUGUUAGUUAGAUGUAGUUGAAUAAAAAUUACCUCAAAACAUUAGCCCUGUUUUCGAUUUCAUUUUCAGUGUCAACAAUAUACAUCUGUCCAAAAUUGGCCUUUUUACCAUUUCCUGGAGUUAAGCUUCCCAUUAAAUGAUAAUUCUCUCCUUGAAGUUGAAACGUAUUCGGUCCUAUGCCUUUUUGAACAGAUCGUUCGCAUUUUCCACCAAGUGAAG
rnacentral:lncRNA from 1 species